UGGGGAAUCUUCCGCAAUGGACGAAAGUCUUACGGAGCAACGCCGCGUGAGUGAAGACGGCCUUCGGGUUUUAAAGCUCUGUGAUCCGGGACGAAAGAGCCUGAGGUGAAUAGCCUAAGGAAGUGACGGUACCGGAGAAGCAAGCCACGUCUAACUACGUGCCAGCAGCCGCGGUAAUACGUAGGUGGCAAGCGUUGUCCGGAAUUAUUGGGCGUAAAGCGCGCGCAGGCGGCUUCCUAAGUCCAUCUUAAAAGUGCGGGGCUUAACCCCGGGAUGGGAUGGAAACUGGGAAGCUGGAGUAUCGGAGAGGAAAGUGGAAUUCCUAGUGUAGAGGUGAAAUGCGUAGAGAUUAGGAAGAACACCGGUGGCGAAGGCGACUGUCUGGACGAAAACUGACGCUGAGGCGCGAAAGCGUGGGGAGCAAACAGG
rnacentral:rRNA from 1 species